rnacentral:rRNA from 1 species
CACGUAGUUAGCCGUGACUUUCUAAGUAAUUACCGUCAAAUAAAGGCCAGUUACUACCUCUAUCUUUCUUCACUACCAACAGAGCUUUACGAGCCGAAACCCUUCUUCACUCACGCGGCGUUGCUCCAUCAGACUUGCGUCCAUUGUGGAAGAUUCCCUACUGCUGCCUCCCGUAGGAGUUUGGGCCGUGUCUCAGUCCCAAUGUGGCCGAUCAGUCUCUCAACUCGGCUAUGCAUCAUUGCCUUGGUAAGCCGUUACCUUACCAACUAGCUAAUGCACCGCAGGUCCAUCCAAGAGUGAUAGCAGAACCAUCUUUUAAACUCUAGACAUGCGUCUAGUGUUGUUAUCCGGUAUUAGCAUCUGUUUCCAGGUGUUAUCCCAGUCUCUUGGGCAGGUUACCCACGUGUUACUCACCCGUCCGCCGCUCGCUUGUAUCUAGUUUCAUCUGGUGCAAGCACCAAAUUCAUCUAGGCAAGCUCGCUCGACUUGC